AAGAUGGCCGCGCAGUCCUCACUGGAUUUAUCUUCCUGGAGUUGUUAUCUACGUUCUUGCUAAGGUCCUGGGAAAGAUGUCGGCGCCGCAAGGAGGAGAGUUUUCGCGCGUGCCGCCAAUGAAUGCCAAACCGCAAAGGAUGGGACCCGUUGGAUUUAAUCCAGGGCCGGGCAUGGGGAUGGUUCGGCGAGGGAUGAGCACUCGCAACAACGCCUUAGCGCUCGGGCUAGGAGUUGCCGUCGCAGGAAUAUAUACCUAUACCAUGUAUGCUUUCUCUCAAGAUGUCUUGCUGAAUGAAGUAGAGACAGAGGCUGAAAUCAUACGAGCACAGGCAGCAAAGACCUCAUCAGAUUGAGAUUGAGAUUGAAAGAAUUGAAGAAUUACCCAUUUUAGAGGUUGAAAAUCAACAUUCCUCUUUGUGCGCUAAGAUUACUUGAGGAUAAGUUAUACAACUCCAAGGAUAAUACCCUGCAUUUCAAAGUGUUCAUUGAUAACAUAUAUUGCCAUGUCUAAGCUAUAAAAGCCAUUUAACCUUUCUAUCUACUUUGUGAAACUCCAAUAAACAAACUCAAUGAAAGAUAA